UGUGAAUCAAAGAGGCAUUUUCUGGAGACCCGGUACCCUUCCUUCGCUAUCGCUCGCGUUGUUGUGGUUGCCCGUUCUCCUCCUCCUCGUUUCCCUACUCAUUUCGAAGACACAACCGGAACAGAGUCGAGCGAGAGUGAGACAGCCAUGGCGAUUUGGAGCUCCCCUUGCCGCCCGAUUCAGUAGGCUGGUGGUACGGCGUCCGGCUGCCCCGCCCCCUCCGUCUGCCGCACCGGAGGAUUUUUUUUCUGCUAUUAGAAAGCCAUAUGUUAAGGAAAUCAACCUCGUCAUUGAGGUAUGUUCUUUCUUCCAGAUCUGUUCAGGCAGGAGAGAGACGAGAGACGACAGGAGCUGAUGAAUGCAUAGGAGGGGGUGUUUACCUGUGAUUUUUUUGCUUCUCCAACCAUGUUCGUGUCCUUGAUCAUGGAGGAAUCGCCCUCUCUGGUGGUGCUUCUCUGGGGUUAAAUUUAGUACUUUCUCAGUGGUAUUACAGUGUAAUUCUUCUGUGUGUUUUAAGUGGAAUUUACAGUGUACUUUUAGUGGAAUUAGAGUGCAUUUUCAGUGGGUUUACACUGUAAUUAUUAGUGGAAUUACAGUGGAAUUUACACUGUAAAUCUGUGGGUUUACAGUGUACUUUUAGUGGAUUUUUGCCCUGUAUUUGCAAGUGGCAUUUUUAGUGGAAUUAUAGUGUAUUUUUAGUGAAAUUACUGUGCA